rnacentral:tmRNA from 1 species
GGGGCUGAUUGGUUUCGACUGGGGACGCUAGUCCCAGGAGAAGCGGGUCGAGAAGCCAGCGUCAUCUCGUAAACGUUCGCUGGAAACCACAAGUGCCAACUCCAAGCGCACUGACUUCGCUCUCGCUGCCUGAGCAGUGAUCGAAGGGUCAGACCGGGCAUCCGUCUCCGUCCCGGACCCUGGCCUCAUCUAGGAGACUUGCUGGUCACUCCCCGUCGGGAGGGGUGAUCGGGACUCUUUCCCGACUGGGCCCGUCGGCGAGCUGUUCGUGGCAGCGCCGGGGCCGAGAAAAGCGAUCUCACGAACUACACCCGUAGAAGACCUGGGUCGGCGCUCGAGGACGCGGGUUCGAUUCCCGCCAGCUCCACC